rnacentral:rRNA from 1 species
AGCUAGUGGCGGACGGGUGAGUAACGCGUGAGAAUCUGCCUUCAGGAGGGGGAUAACGACUGGAAACGGUCGCUAAUACCCCAUAUGCCUCCGGGUGAAAAGUAAUUCGCCUGAAGAUGAGCUCGCGUCAGAUUAGCUAGUUGGUGGGGUAAGAGCCUACCAAGGCGACGAUCUGUAGCUGGUCUGAGAGGAUGAUCAGCCACACUGGGACUGAGACACGGCCCAGACUCCUACGGGAGGCAGCAGUGGGGAAUUUUCCGCAAUGGGCGCAAGCCUGACGGAGCAAGACCGCGUGGGGGAUGACGGCCUAAUGGUUGUAAACCCCUUUUCUCUGGGAAGAAGACUGACGGUACCAGAGGAAUCAGCCUCGGCUAACUCCGUGCCAGCAGCCGAGGUAAUACGGAGGAGGCAAGCGUUAUCCGGAAUUAUUGGGCGUAAAGCGUCCGUAGGUGGUUAUUCAAGUACUGCUGUCAAAGCGUGGGGCUUAACUCCAUAGAGGCAGUGGAAACUGAGUGACUAGAGUGCGGUAGGGGUCGAGGGAAUUCCA